GUGUCUCUUUGGCUUGAUUAAAACAAAAGAUUCUGAAAAAACUUUGACCUUCCCCCUAACUGCCUAAAAGAAUUUAGGAUAGAAGGCCUGUCCCCAGGAUGAGCCAUCACCACAGAUAACUCUGGGUAUUGGUAGACUGGGAGAGUUCUUGUUAAGCCCAUUUUCAUCAAAGUUCUGUCUCUAGGGUCAUACUGUCUACAGACGGCCCAAGAAACAUUUGUUUACCAAAAUUUGCUUUUCCAUCUCCACGUGAAUUGCCUCCCUCCCCUUUGAAGUCCCAAACCACUACUCUCAACAUCCUCCUUGUCUUUAGCUGAAGAUGGUGUUUAAGGUGGUGGCUUUGGCCAUUUUGACAAGUUACUCAAGUUUGCUGGGUUUCUCCCGUGUAUACAUGUUAUCAAACUUUGUUUGAUUUUCUCUUAUUAUUCUGUCUCACGUCAAUUUAAUUCUUAGACGAGCCAAAAGGACCUAGAGGGUAGAGGAAUAGUUCUGCCUCCCCUGUACUUCUGUGACAAAGGCAGAUAGGACCUCAUCCUACAACAGGUCUCUUCACUUGAACUCCUUAGCCUCUCUCAGUAGCCAGAAGUUAUUAACCAGCAAUCCUAAAUUUGCCUUCUCUGAGCAUAUCCAAUUGUUUCUCCCCAAUUUUGCGUAUUAUGUUGGUGUACCUAUUAUGAUUAUUCUGAGGCAAGAGAAUAAUCAGUCCCUUUCUGUACCUUAGAAAACAGAGGCAGGGAAUAGGCUGACUGUAAAAUUGUGUGGGAAGGAAAGAGUAUAGGAGUUUUUCUACCAGAAAAGCCCUGGGGAGGAGAAUUUAGCUUUGUAUCAUGAUUGUCUUUUCCAGCAUUGGAAAGAGGUGGUCAAACUCAAUGAGAAAUGAAAUCGAACUGAGAAUCUUGCACUAAUUUGCCUCUUCCCAGUUGACCUCCCGGAGGGGUACAUUCCAUGAAGCUCCUAGGGAGUGCUCUCAAGGAAGGCAAUGACGUUGUUGAGAGGGUGUGCUCUGCCUCCCAUGCUGUAAGAAGGCAUCUCACAAACCACAGGUAAAUGUGAACUGAC
rnacentral:lncRNA from 1 species